rnacentral:rRNA from 1 species
GACAGAGGAUGCAAGCGUUAUCCGGAAUGAUUGGGCGUAAAGCGUCUGUAGGUGGCUUUUAAGUCCGCCGUCAAAUCCCAGGGCUCAACCCUGGACAGGCGGUGGAAACUACCAAGCUGGAGUACGGUAGGGGCAGAGGGAAUUUCCGGUGGAGCGGUGAAAUGCGUAGAGAUCGGAAGGAACACCGGUGGCGAAGGCGGCGACCUGGGACAAUACUGACGCUGAGGUGCGAAAGCGUGGGGAGCAAACAGG